ACCCUGCUGACGAAUACCAAAUAGCACGAAACACGGGUCGAGGAU
rnacentral:hammerhead_ribozyme from 1 species